UUGUUACGUUUUCAUUUACGUUCAUUUCGUGUCGUUUGAAAUGUUUUUAUUUUCUUCACAACUAACUGCAACACGUGAUUGCUUUGCAGAUGCGCAUGACCUUUCAUCGCACGAAACGCUUUCGACAAGUUUUAUGAACAUAACACCUGCAGGAAGACGUUCUUAACCAAACAUUAAUGGCUUCCAAAGAUCAGUUCUCACCAAACUGGAAACAUUAAUUGAUAAGCAAGAAGAAGCGUUGUCAAUAUUGCGUGCUCUGUUAAGCGCUACGAAAGGUGUAGAGGAGCACAAAAUUUUGAAAGAUGUUAUAACUAAUCCCUUAGAUUCGGUUGAAGAACUUGAGGACCUAUCCUCUAGUCUUGAUGAAGAAAAGUUCAGAAGAAAGUUGCGCUGUGCGCAAACACCUGUGCAAACAGUGUUAGAAGAAUUAUGACAAAGCUGGGAACAAAUAUUCUAUGGUCCCAAUAUAGUUUAAAAGGCAGAAAGGCAAAGCGACCAUUUCAGCACCUUGCCCUCUGCAAAGUUAUAACAAAAGCCUGCCUCAGAGCUCAUAAAGGAUGCAGCGAGACCAACGUUGAAGAGCAAAUAGCCGAAUUUUUAAAAUAUGUUCCAGGCAAGCAAGGUGGUUCCAGAUUUAAGGUAACAUGUCAUUAUCAUCAUAGAUUGCUGGGUCCGAAAAGGCAACUUAUUGGAAUCGGCUUAAUUAGCAUUUCUGUAAAUAUGUGUAUUAAAACACGCACAGCAAAAUAGAUGAAUUAAACGUUGAUUAUAUGGAAAUUAAA